CAGUCGCCGCGGUAAUACGGAGGGUGCAAGCGUUAAUCGGAAUUACUGGGCGUAAAGCGCACGCAGGCGGUCUGACAAGUCAGAUGUGAAAUCCCCGGGCUUAACCUGGGAACUGCAUUUGAAACUGUCAGGCUGGAGUCUUGUAGAGGGGGGUGGAAUUCCAGGUGUAGCGGUGAAAUGCGUAGAGAUCUGGAGGAAUACCGGUGGCGAAGGCGGCCCCCUGGACAAAGACUGACGCUCAGGUGCGAAAGCGUGGGGAGCAAACAGGAUUAGAUACCCCUGUAGUCCUGUCUCUUAUACA
rnacentral:rRNA from 1 species